UUUCCGUAGGUGAACCUGCGGAAGGAUCAUUCAUAAUAAAGUGUUUUAAGGCACUUUUUAAAAAUCCAUAUCCACCUUGUGUGCAAUGUUAGAUCUCGUCAAUCUUGGCGAGAUUUUUAUACAUCAACUCAUUCUUUAACUAAUUUGUCUGAAAAAUAUUAUGAAUACUUAGUUCAAAAUACAACUUUCAACAACGGAUCUCUUGGCUCUC
rnacentral:misc_RNA from 1 species